ACAAUGGCACUCUUCAAGUUCUUGACGAGAUGAGGAACGUCAGGCAUGAAAUGGAGGCGCUGGCUUGGCUCAACAGGAUGCUGGAUCCAUGGCUUGUCAUAGGUCACCCCAAAGGACUUCCACAUUGCUCUAUUGGGGCUCCCCAUGUCUGUGGUGAUGUUCAGUACAUGAAGCCCUACAGAUGCCGCUGCUUCAACAAUGUUGAUUAUGAUGGGCCGGUAAACUGCUCCAUUGGUGGAAUUGCCACUAUAGUGGUAAGCCACAACUUGUUUCCACCGUGUUGUAGCUCCAGCCAGCAUAAACACCAGUGCAUGUGUCGCUUGUCCUUUGUGCUCAGGCAGUGUGACAUUGCCAAAUAGCCUCCCCGUUCCCAAAUGGAGCUCCACGCCUGGAGUAAUGGACAUCUCAUCUAAGCGUCCGGAUGUUGGGCAGCGGAAUAUGCAUUCGCUGGAGGGUUUUGUAACCAGUGGUGCCAGCAGUAAAUUUAACCUUUGCCUUAUUAGGUCCUCCACAGUCGCCCCAUCAGUCCCUGGCGGUCUGGUCCCUGGCGGUCUGGUCCCUGGAGCAGCUGGCCCUGGCGCAGAUGGUCCUGGCAAAGUUAUAACUUCACUGUUGACCCCUGACUGACUGGCCCUCGGCACACACAUCCCUGGAUCACCUGCCCCUGGAUCACCUGCCACUGAAUCACCUGCCACUGACAAUGUGGCCUCUUGAUUUCUCUCUCUGUCUCCUGGCAUGUCCCUUUCAAUGCUCUUCAAAUCCACCUCAAUUUCUCCCUCAAUCUCUGUAAAAAUUACAAGGUAAUGUUGCUGUUAUAUGUAUUUUGCCUUUGCAUUUGC